AAGUCGUAACAAGGUUUCCGUAGGUGAACCUGCGGAAGGAUCAUCAACAAGGCCCACUGGGCAGUCUCCAGCAGACAAGGUCCCGCCAGCGAGUUCCAGCGACGGCUGGGGAAAAGGCUCGCGGGUCGGGGUGGCCGUGAUUGGCCCGUGGCACGUCCACAUUGGAUCCGACCGGGGGAGACUGGCGAGUCCCCGGCGGCCAGCUAGCACACACUGAACACCGAGACAGCGUAGGCUGUUGAACAGCAAGUCACUGGCAGGGUAACAGCUGCCAGCAAUGCGUAAAACUUUCGGCAAUGGAUCUCUCGGCUCUCC
rnacentral:misc_RNA from 1 species